UACGGAGGGUGCAAGCGUUAUCCGGAUUCACUGGGUUUAAAGGGUGCGUAGGCGGAAUGGAAAGUCCGUUGUGAAAUCUCCGAGCUUAACUCGGAAAUUGCGGUGGAUACUAUCAUUCUUGAAUACUGUGGAGGUUAGCGGAAUAUGUCAUGUAGCGGUGAAAUGCAUAGAUAUGACAUAGAACACCAAUUGCGAAGGCAGCUGGCUACACAAAUAUUGACACUGAGGCACGAAAGCGUGGGGAGCAAACAGG
rnacentral:rRNA from 1 species